CUAGUGCCAGGGCAGGCUGCCCCUGCCCCUGCCCUUCCACCUCGGACAUCCAGAUCCUUCCCUUUUCCGGCGGACCUGUCACCAGCAUAGGGCCCCCCGCCACCUGCAGUUACCUCUCCUGCCCCACACAGGGCAAGGGGCAGCCCCAUCCCCCACCCCCAGUGAGGGGCAGCAGCAGGGGAGGAGGCACACACGUGAUGGCAACCCCUCCCCCGGCACCCACCACAGGGGAGGUGAGGGGGCUUCCUGGACCUGAGAGGGGCCCUAGAAGCAUGUCUAGUGACAGUGGUGCGAGCUGUUUUUUUGGCUGGAGACUGCUUUCUGCAGGGCUACAGGGAUAAGACAGCAGCAUGCUGGUCACUAUUAUAUAAACUGCAGACUGUGAGGCACCCAGACACCCGGGCAAUGGGUCCCAGAUAAACACUUUAAAUACAUGAAAUAUACUGAUGAUUCGGACUUCACACUUGAGAGGACUGUCUGCAUUAUCCACUCCCGAUAACUCUCUUUGUAGAUGAUGAAGUCAUACUCAUCCCAUGAAGAUAAAUUCCACAUCCUAAGUAUAGUUAUGAUGCAUUCCUGAAAUAUAUAUAAGGCAUUAUUUUUGGACUGCCAAUUGGGCUCCGCUCCAUAUGUACUUCUGCAGCACUCUA